ACCUUCGUCUGCUCAUUAUUGCCGUCCUAUAUUAUUCAAAUACGCCAAGGAAUCUUCGGAACUAAUAAAAUCCACUGUAAGUGAUAUUAAGAAUCAGAUUUCAAAUAUAAGACCGUCUGUACAUAAAGUCAACGAAGUAAAAUCCAUUAGUGUCAAUUUUGAAUUUUUCCUUACUACUGAUGGAAAAGUUCUUAACGAACUUACUAAUACAAAAUCGACUUUGAAAUGCGCAUUUUGCAAAAAAAAAACACAGAAGGAAUUUAAAAAUUUUGAUGAUUCCAUAAUUGAAGAGGAAAAUUUAGAAUAUGACAUUUCCCCAUUACAUGCAAGAAUUAGAUGUAUGGAGUUUAUUUUAAAGCUUGCAUAUACCAUUCCGCGAGAGGGGGAAUCUUUUGACAACAGCACGCCAGCCAACGAAAUACAAAAGACUAGGAAAAAAAUGAUUCAAGAAAAUAUCCUAGGCAAACUAUCACUGAAGGUGGACUGCCCCAAACAAGGAUUUGGAAACACAAAUGAUGGAAACUCUUCACUCAUUGAGAAAAACGAAAUUACUGCAGAAAUAACUGGGAGCACCGUUUUUGGAUGGAUCGUGUCGGGGGCGUGCACCCAGCCAUAGGCCACCCCAGUAUACUUUGCAAUCCUGCAAGGGGGGGAUGUUCAGGCCAGCAGGAGAUGGUUGCCGCGCACUGUGCCAACUUCCUGCGCUCCGUUUCCAACUCGCUCUCUCGCGCUCGGAGGGGCGCUCGGGAGAUGUCACGAGCCACGAUCCACCCGACGCUCAAGCCAGCAUAGCAUAGAUCAUAAGGCCUAGUUUUGUUACGUUUCCACCCCCGAUUCGAGCGGCCGACCUACCGCGCCCCAGAACAAAAUACACACCUACAUAUCACGAAACACAGCUACUUUUCAUUUCUCGCGACGGCUUCUAGGAGGUUCACUGGAUCAACGAUUUUUGACGUUUGGAGAAUUGAUCUUCGAUCCGCCCCACUACAAAUAUGAUGAAAGAAAUACAUUAAAGAAAAGCAAACAUACAUUUACAUACAAAAUACAUUUAUCCAAUUACAAAUAUAUAAAUACAAAAAUAGGAAAAUAAGAGAAAAAGAAAACAACAAAAUCGUGUGUAGUUGGCACAAUAGUGGUGGGUAGUUUUAUCAGAUAUGAGUACUUGUUAUGAAUUUAAGAAUUAAAGUUUUAGUAAAUAUUAUGGAUUAAUAAACAAGUAUAUUUCCUGGAAGUAUUGUACAAAAGAA